AGCCUGUGACCAUCAGAAGGGAAACAUUACCAGAGGGCUUCAUAGUCACGGGUCUGAACCAUCUGAAAACCACUGGUCUGCAAGAUUUAAUGGGACAGUCUACACUACCACUUGCUCCAAGGCCUGGAGACAAUGCCCUGUGGUUCAGUAGUUCUCUAGGAAGCUGCCUGGGGCAGACCCCACAGCACAGCACCAGCAGGAACAAGCACCAAAAUACAGAGCAACAGAGACCCCUAAUGGGUCUAACUCCAUCACCCAGUCUAAAGUGCACUGGCACCAUCCCAGCUCACUACAAUUCCUGGGCUCAAGUGAUCCUCCAGCCUCAGCCUCCAAGUAGCUGGGACUACAGGUGUGUGUCACCAUGAUUGG